rnacentral:rRNA from 1 species
AUUGAGCGCUGGCGGAAUGCUUUACACAAGCAAGUCGAACGGUAGAGGGGGCAACCCCUCGAGAGUGGCGAACGGGUGAGUAAUAUAUCGGAACGUGCCCAGUCGUGGGGGAUAACGUAGCGAAAGUUACGCUAAUACCGCAUACGAUCUAAGGAUGAAAGCGGGGGAUCGCAAGACCUCGCGCGAUUGGAGCGGCCGAUAUCAGAUUAGGUAGUUGGUGGGGUAAAGGCUCACCGAGCCAACGAUCUGUAGCUGGUCUGAGAGGACGACCAGCCACACUGGAACUGAGACACGGUCCAGACUCCUACGGGAGGCAGCAGUGGGGAAUUUUGGACAAUGGACGCAAGUCUGAUCCAGCCAUUCCGCGUGCAGGAUGAAGGCCCUCGGGUUGUAAACUGCUUUUGUACGGAACGAAAAGGUCUCUCUUAAUACGGGGGACUCAUGACGGUACCGUAAGAAUAAGCACCGGCUAACUACGUGCCAGCCGCCGCCGUAAUAC